CUAGGGCAAGGGGAUCAGCCUCAGACGGGAGCAGCAGAUGGAGCCGGGGACAGCUUGGUGAGGAAGGCCUGGAAUCCUGGCAAGAAAGACAAAAGGCAUUUGGAAUUCUCACUGCAGAAUCACCAGAGAAUCACCAAGACAGCCUUUUCCAACGGUAGGUUCUCAGAUUCCACCUCUGAAGACUGUUUCAGCAGAUCUGUAAGGGCCUAUGUGGCUGUGUUUAUAACACACACCCCAGGUACUUGCAGUGCUCAAAAAGCACAAGGUUCUAUUGCAGCUUCCCCAACUGCCAAGGUUUCUAACGGCAAACCCUGCCUCAUCGGUUUCCAUCUUCCAUCCUCAACUUACAGCAUCACCACAACUGGCUCUGUCCUUGCCUCCAUCACUGACAGCCUGCCUUCACUGGAAGUCCAGGGGCCGCUUUCAGAUGCUUACCUCAAUUGGCUUCUCAGUGGCCACCAGCGCCUGUGACCACUCCUCAUUCGUGAUUCUCCAUAACAUCCCUUUUCUCCUGGUUUUCCUCCCAUACCACUCUAGCCUCUUCCUUUAAUUAAGUCUCCUAACUGACUUCUGGCCUCAUUCUGUCUCUCCCCAGGACUUUGCAUUCAGCCACAUUCUUUUGGCAUUUUCCUUGCCCUGGGUGACCUUAUCCACCCCAUGGCUUCAAUUGCUCCCUCUGUGUGGAUAAUGCAUAUCACCUACCCAGAGCUCCCUGAGAUCCCCAAGCCUUUUGAUAGUGUCCACCCGGCUAUCUCACAAAGCACCUCAAAUGCAGCAUGUCUGUAACGGAUCAGAGUCUUCUCUGGCUACUACUGCUGUCUCAUCUCUGUGAAGGAUCACUCAUAGGUCACUGAAGGCAGAGACCUGGUGGUUUAUGUUGGGGGGUGUUUCCCAAACCCCUCCUGCAUCAAGUUAUUACCGAAUGCCAGAUAUUCUAGCUCCUAACUUCCCAAGGAGCACCCACGGGUCCCCAUCUACAUGGCCUCUGUCUCAGUUCUUUCUCUUCAGGGCCCUGAUGAAUCCCUUUAGUGUCUUUCUGACCAGGUUCUUACCCACCCAACGCACUCU
rnacentral:lncRNA from 1 species